AUUGAACGCUGGCGGCAUGCCUUACACAUGCAAGUCGAACGGCAGCACGGGAGCAAUCCUGGUGGCGAGUGGCGAACGGGUGAGUAAUACAUCGGAACGUGCCCAGUAGUGGGGGAUAACCCGGCGAAAGCCGGACUAAUACCGCAUACGACCUACGGGUGAAAGCGGGGGAUCGCAAGACCUCGCGCUAUCGGAGCGGCCGAUGUCAGAUUAGCUAGUUGGUGGGGUAAAGGCCUACCAAGGCGACGAUCUGUAGCUGGUCUGAGAGGACGACCAGCCACACUGGGACUGAGACACGGCCCAGACUCCUACGGGAGGCAGCAGUGGGGAAUUUUGGACAAUGGGCGCAAGCCUGAUCCAGCCAUGCCGCGUGCGGGAAGAAGGCCUUCGGGUUGUAAACCGCUUUUGUCAGGGAAGAAACGCUCCGGGCUAAUACCACGGAGUAAUGACGGUACCUGAAGAAUAAGCACCGGCUAACUACGU
rnacentral:rRNA from 1 species